rnacentral:rRNA from 1 species
GACGAACGCUGGCGGCGUGCUUAACACAUGCAAGUCGAACGAAAAUACCAAGCUUGCUUGGUUGAUUAGUGGCGAACGGGUGAGUAACACGUGAGUAACCUGCCCCUUACUUUCUGGAUAACUGCUCGAAAGGGUAGCUAAUACGGGAUAUUCUGGCCUUCCUGCAUGGGUUGGUUUGGAAAGGUUUUUUCUGGUGAGGGAUGGGCUCGCGGCCUAUCAGCUUGUUGGUGGGGUGAUGGCCUACCAAGGCUUUGACGGGUAGCCGGCCUGAGAGGGUGGACGGUCACACUGGGACUGAGAUACGGCCCAGACUCCUACGGGAGGCAGCAGUGGGGAAUAUUGCACAAUGGGCGCAAGCCUGAUGCAGCGACGCCGCGUGAGGGAUGAAGGCCUUCGGGUUGUAAACCUCUUUCGUCAGGGAACAAGGCACUGCUUUUGGUGGUGUUGAGGGUACCUGGAUAAGAAGCGCCGGCUAACUACGUGCCAGCAGCCGCGGUAAUACGUAGGGCGCAAGCGUUGUCCGGAAUUAUUGGGCGUAAAGAGCUCGUAGGCGGCUGGUCGCGUCUGUCGUGAAAACUUCCGGCUCAACCGGGGGCUUGCGGUGGGUACGGGCCGGCUAGAGUGCGGUAGGGGUAACUGGAACUCCUGGUGUAGCGGUGGAAUGCGCAGAUAUCAGGAAGAACACCGAUGGCGAAGGCAGGUUACUGGGCCGUUACUGACGCUGAGGAGCGAAAAGCGUGGGGAGCGAACAGG